rnacentral:rRNA from 1 species
UACGUAGGGUGCGAGCGUUGCCCGGAUUUAUUGGGCGUAAAGGGCGCGUAGGCGGCUCGGCACGUCCGUUGUGAAAUCGCCCGGCUCAACUGGGCGGGGUCAGCGGAUACGGUCGAGCUUGAGCAAGCUAGGGGGCAAUGGAAUUCCCGGUGUAGUGGUGGAAUGCGUAGAUAUCGGGAGGAACACCGAUGGCGAAGGCAAUCCCCUGGGCCUGCACUGACGCUCAUGCACGAAAGCGUGGGGAGCAAACAGG